CCUACGGGAGGCAGCAGUGAGGAAUAUUGGUCAAUGGCCGUAAGGCUGAACCAGCCAAGCCGCGUGAAGGAAGAAGGAUCUAGGGUUUGUAAACUUCUUUUAUAGGGGAAUAAAGGUAUCCACGUGUGGAUAUUUGCAUGUACCCUAUGAAUAAGCAUCGGCUAACUCCGUGCCAGCAGCCGCGGUAAUACGGAGGAUGCGAGCGUUAUCCGGUUUUAUUGGGUUUAAAGGGUGCGUAGGUUGUUUUUUUAGUCAGCGGUGAAAUUUUGUGGCUCAACCAUAAAAUUGCCGUUGAAACUGGGAGACUGGAGUGUGUGAGAGGUAAGCGGAAUGCGUGGUGUAGCGGUGAAAUGCGUAGAUAUCAGGAAGAACUCCGAUUGCGAAGGCGGCUUACUGGGCCAUAACUGACGCUGAGGCACGAAAGCGUGGGGAUCAAACAGGAUUAGAUACCCCGGUAGUC
rnacentral:rRNA from 1 species